CUACGGGGGGCAGCAGUAGGGAAUCUUAGACAAUGGGGGAAACCCUGAUCUAGCCAUGCCGCGUGAGUGAUGAAGGCCUUAGGGUUGUAAAGCUCUUUCGCUGGGGAAGAUAAUGACGGUACCCAGUAAAGAAACCCCGGCCAACUCCGUGCCAGCAGCCGCAGGUAAUACGGAGGGGGUUAGCGUUGUUCGGAAUUACUGGGCGUAAAGCGCGCGUAGGCGGGCUAUUAAGUCAGGGGUGAAAUCCCGGGGCUCAACCCCGGAACUGCCUUUGAUACUGGUAGUCUUGAGUUCGAGAGAGGUGAGUGGAAUUCCGAGUGUAGAGGUGAAAUUCGUAGAUAUUCGGAGGAACAUCAGUGGCGAAGGCGACUCACUGGCUCGAUACUGACGCUGAGGUGCGAAAGUGUGGGGAGCAAACAGGAUUAGAUACCCCAGUAGUC
rnacentral:rRNA from 1 species